GGAUAGGAUAGUCUCAGAAUAUU
rnacentral:siRNA from 1 species